rnacentral:rRNA from 1 species
AUUGAACGCUGGCGGCAGGCCUAACACAUGCAAGUCGAGCGAGCGGCGGACGGGUGAGUAAUUCCUAGGAAUCUGCCUGGUCGUGGGGGAUAACGUCCGGAAACGGUAGCUAAUACCGCAUACCAUCAGCUGUGCCCAGAUGGGGUUCGCUUGUGGGUGGGGUAACGGCUCACCAAGGCGACGAUCACUAGCUGGUCUGAGAGGAGGACCAGCCACACUGGAACGGAGACACGGUCCAGAUUCCUCCGGGAGGCAGCAGUGGGGAAUAUUGCACAAUGGGCGCAAGCCUGAUGCACACAUGCCGCGGGUAUGAAGAAGGCCUUCGGGUUGUAAAGUACGUUCAGCGGGGAGGCGUUACCCGCAGAAGAAGCACCGGCUAACUCCGUGCCAGCAGCCGCGGUAAUUC